AUGCAAGAGAUAGUUCGUGGAUGCGUGGGGAAGCCAAUUGUUGAAAAUACUCGUUCCUGCCGGUGUGAAUGCCCAGCCCUCAUCAGACUACUGCGGACAAAGGACAAUGGAUGGUACAUAGCAGAGCAUCGAGAUGGGCACACCCAUGCACUUUCCCAAACGUAUGGACAGACAAUACACUGGCCUACGACAGUGAGCGCGGAAGCAUGGAUCUGCGUGAUGGACACAACAGCGGUGGUGAAUGAGGGACAGCUCGUGUCAGGCCUCGAAGCUCUGAACUGGAAAGAGAAUCCACAUGCUUCUAUCUAG
rnacentral:rRNA from 1 species